rnacentral:rRNA from 1 species
UACGUAGGGAGCAAGCGUUGUCCGGAAUCAUUGGGCGUAAAGCGCACGUAGGCGGCCCUGUAAGUCCGUUGUGAAAGUCAAAGGCUCAACCUUUGAAAGCCGAUGGAUACUGCAGGGCUAGAGUCCGGAAGAGGCGAGUGGAAUUCCUGGUGUAGCGGUGGAAUGCGCAGAUAUCAGGAGGAACACCAAUAGCGAAGGCAGCUCGCUGGGACGGUACUGACGCUAAGGUGCGAAAGCGUGGGGAGCGAACAGG